rnacentral:rRNA from 1 species
AACUAAUACUAGCCCAUACCACAUAAAAUUCAACUAACCCAACUAAAUAAAACAAAACAUUUACCCUAAAUAAAAGUAUAGGAGAUAGAAAUUCUAAUUGGCGCCAUAGAGAGAGUACCGUAAGGGAAAGAUGAAAGACACAUUAAAAGUAAUAAACAGCAAAGCUUACCCCUUGUACCUUUUGCAUAAUGAUUUAACUAGAAGUAAUUUGACGAAGAGAACUUAAGCCAAACAACCCGAAACCAGACGAGCUACUUAAGAGCAGCUAAAAGAGCAAACUCAUCUAUGUGGCAAAAUAGUGAGAAGACUUUUAAGUAGUGGUGAAAAGCCUACCGAGCCUGGUGAUAGCUGGUUGUCCAGAACCGAAUUUUAGUUCAAUAUUAAGUCAUGCCUAAAAAAUAUAUAAUUAAAAUGCAGACUUAAGAUUUAGUCUAAAAGGGUACAGCCUUUUAGAAACAGGAUACAACCUUGACUAGAGAGUAAGUACCACACAAAUUCAUAGUUGGCUUAAAAGCAGCCACCAAUUAAGAAAGCGUUCAAGCUCAACAAACCAAUACCUAUUAAUUUAAAUAGCGGAUACGAACCCCUAGUAUGACACUGGACCAUUCUAUUCUCAAAUAGAAGAGACACUGUUAAUAUGAGUAACAAGAAUUAGCUUCUCCCUGCACGAGCUUAUAUCAGAUAACGGAUGACCCACUGAUAAUUAACAACAAGAUACGUCCUACACUACAACUAAAACAACUAUCUAACUAACUGUUAAUCCAACACAGGUGUGCACCAAGGGAAAGAUUAAAAGAAGUAAAAGGAACUCGGCAAACACAAACCCCGCCUGUUUACCAAAAACAUCACCUCUAGCAUAACAACUAUUAGAGGCACUGCCUGCCCAGUGACAUCUGUUAAACGGCCGCGGUAUCCUGACCGUGCAAAGGUAGCAUAAUCAUUUGUUCUCUAAAUAAGGACUUGUAUGAAUGGCCACACGAGGGUUUUACUGUCUCUUACUUCCAAUCAGUGAAAUUGACCUUCCCGUGAAGAGGCGGGAAUAAAUAAAUAAGACGAGAAGACCCUAUGGAGCUUUAAUUAACUAACCCACGGACAACAAACCUCACUUCUAAGGAAAACAAGACAACACCCUGAUGGGUUAGCAAUUUAGGUUGGGGUGACCUCGGAAUACAGAAAAACUUCCAAGUGAUUAAAAUCCAGACUGACAAGUCAAAAUUAACCACAUCAAACAUUGAUCCAAUCUAUUUGAUCAACGGAACAAGUUACCCUAGGGAUAACAGCGCAAUCCUGUUUGAGAGUCCAUAUCGAUAAUAGGGUUUACGACCUCGAUGUUGGAUCAGGACAUCCCAAUGGUGCAGAAGCUAUUAAUGGUUCGUUUGUUCAACGAUUAAAGUCCUACGUGAUCUGAGUUCAGACCGGAGCAAUCCA